GUGCCCUGGAAGGGUUUAUAUUCCCGUGAACAGUUUUAACAUACAAGACCUGUCCACUCUACAAAAGCCAAUAUGAUUCUCUUCAUCUGGGCAAUUUACUGCAUCCAAGGCUCUUUGGGACAAAUCGUUGUGACUCAACCUGAUUUUAAAUCAGUUCAGCUUGGUCAAACAGUCUCUAUUGAUUGUAAGGUCAACACUGUAGUUUAUAGGUAUCCAACGGGCUCAGUAUCCAAAGAUUACUACAUCUCCUGGUAUAUUCAGAAACCAGAGGAACCCACUAAACUCCUCAUAUAUUACACAACAAUGAAGCCCUCAAGUGCUCCAUCUAGAAUGAGCGGUGGAGGCAGUUUUCACUCAGGAGGAAACGGUCUUGAUUUCAGUCUGACCAUCAGUGAUGUCCAGCUUGAAGAUGCAGGAGUAUUUUACUGUCAGAGUUACCAUGUGAUCAGUGGUAGCAAGGUGUUCACACAGUGAAAAGGUCCCGUGCAAAAACCCUCCCUUGUUCAGAAUCAGAUUACUAACAUUACUAACAUCUUCUGA